UCUCAAUAGCUUCAACUCGGAGAACUCAAUUCCAAAUGGUUCCAGACACUGCAAGCCUAAUCGUUUCUUCGCGGGCGAAUACGCCUGCAGAGAGUUGUAGACCGGGCCCUGCCAGAAUGAUCUGUCAGAAUAGUUGAGCUGCGAGUUGAUCUAGGCCAAAAAAGCACGAGUAGAAAAGGAGAGAGUAAAGGUGCUCCAAAUCGAGAAAGAGAAGACCUUUAUGCACAGGCAGAUUAGGGAGUAACAAGGCUCAAAAAAUUUUUAAUCGGAUGUCGGAGAAUUUAUAAUUAAAAUCGAAUGGAAAGUUAAACAAGGCGAUUCUUCCAAUGGUGGAUAUAAUUACGAUAACUUGCACCAACUGUUUUCAAAGUAUGGAGAUGUGGAAGUCUUAUCAUCUGCGAAGAAAGGAAGAGCUAUGCUCAAAUUUGGAAGGAAAAGUGCAGCGGAGACGGCACUUCAACUAGAAAUUGGUUUAAUUGCAAACCCAUUAACACUUUGCGGUUUAUGGGAAAAGAAACAAUCAACCGGUAGGUUGAGUGUAAAUGCGAAUUUUGGGUCGUUUCCUGCGAGUACACAUUCCACAGCGCACAGCAAACCGUGCGCAUCUACCAGUGUGUCUUCUGCACCGAUAGAUUUGUAU